rnacentral:rRNA from 1 species
UCGAGCGAGUCUGCCUUGAAGAUCGGAGUGCUUGCACUCUGUGAAACAAGAUACAGGCUAGCGGCGGACGGGUGAGUAACACGUGGGUAACCUGCCCAAGAGAUCGGGAUAACACCUGGAAACAGAUGCUAAUACCGGAUAACAACAGAUGAUGCCUAUCAACUGUUUAAAAGAUGGUUCUGCUAUCACUCUUGGAUGGACCUGCGGUGCAUUAGCUAGUUGGUAGGGUAACGGCCUACCAAGGCGAUGAUGCAUAGCCGAGUUGAGAGACUGAUCGGCCACAUUGGGACUGAGACACGGCCCAAACUCCUACGGGAGGCAGCAGUAGGGAAUCUUCCACAAUGGACGCAAGUCUGAUGGAGCAACGCCGCGUGAGUGAAGAAGGGUUUCGGCUCGUAAAGCUCUGUUGUUGGUGAAGAAGGACAGGGGUAGUAACUGACCUUUGUUUGACGGUAAUCAAUUAGAAAGUCACGGCUAACUACGUGCCAGCAGCCGCGGUAAUACGUAGGUGGCAAGCGUUGUCCGGAUUUAUUGGGCGUAAAGCGAGUGCAGGCGGUUCGAUAAGUCUGGUGUGAAAGCCUUCGGCUCAACCGGAGAAUUGCAUCAGAAACUGUCGAGCUUGAGUACAGAAGAGGAGAGUGGAACUCCAUGUGUAGCGGUGAAA